GGCUUAGUUGAAUUGAGUUGAGUACUUUGUUUUAGUAUUCAGUUGGAAGUUGGAAUUCUAUUUGCAUAUUUAAUGAUGCCAUUUAUGUCUGUAACAUAGCUUUAAUUCACAUUUUAUUUAAUUUUUCAACUUUUCUCUGAAUUCGAAAUUAAUAAAAGGGUGAAUAAAGUUCAUGUUCCAUUAGAUUUUUGGAAUUAAUUAUCAGAUUGAUUUCCAUUUUUUACCCAAACUUUGAGGUUGGGUCAUUUAGCUUUCAACACUUAACUUUGGAACUUGAUUUUUUCUAUUGGGCUGACCUUUUUCUUUUUUCUAUUAACUAAAUUUUGGUCCUUCAAUUUCAGUCAGUUUUUAGACUGAGGACUUAUAAAUUAGGAUCUGAAUUCUCACGCUAGAGUUACAUCUUACUGUAAAAUUUAGUGAAUUGUUUCAUUUAACUAUAGGUAUUUCUCUAGUAGAAAAUGCUGAUUUUUAUGUUUGUCACCAGCUAAUAAUAUAAAUUUGGUGUACUGCACUUAUGAAAUAUCAUUCCAGCAGGUAACAGUGCUACCGGCGCUAUU
rnacentral:misc_RNA from 1 species